rnacentral:lncRNA from 1 species
UCUCUCUCUCUCUCUCUCUCUAACUCAAACAAUUUGAACACCUUUGUCUUGUCGAUAUCUCUCUCUUGUCUCAUCGAUAUGUCAAUUUCUUACUAAAAUUGAUCUUGUUGCAAGAAACUAAUUCCUCUUGUAUGCUCUCUUGAGAUUAAACUCAUUGAAGGCAAAAGUUGCAAAGUUUACAUUUAACAUAAGACACAACUACAUUUUUCAUAAAAAUGGCUACCAUUAACAUAAGAGAAAUCAAAGAAAAGUAGACUUUCUGGAAAUCAAAAUUGUUCUUGAGAUUGAAUCAAUAAUUAUAAGUGAAAGUUGCAAAGUUUACAUUUAACAUAAGAUACAACCACUAUUUUCAUGAGAAAUGUCUACCAUUUAGAUAAGCAAAAUCACAAAAAAGUAGACUUUCUGGAAAUUAAAAUUGUUCUUGAGAUUGAAUCAAUAAUGGAAGGUGAAAGUUGCAAAGUCUACAUUUAACAUAAAACACAACAACUAUUUUCAUGAGAAAUAUCUACCAUUUAGAUGAGAAAAAUCACAUAAAUGUAAACUUUCUGGAAAUAAAAAUGGUUCUUAAGAUUAAAUCAAUUAUUGAAGGUGAAAGUUGCAAAGUCUACAUUUAACAUAAGACACAACUACCCUUUUCAAGAGAAAUGUCUACCAUUUAGAUGAGCAAAAUUAUAAAAAAGUAGAUUUUCUGAAAAUCAAAAUUGUUCUUGAGAUUGAAUCAAUAAUGGAAGGUGAAAGUUGCAAAAUCUACAUUUAACAUAAGACACAACUACUAUUUUCAUGGGAAAUAUUCACCAUUUAGAUGUGAAAAAUCACAUAAAUGUAGAUUUUCUGGAAAUAAAAAUGGUUCUUAAGAUUGAAUCAAUUAUUGAAGGUGAAAAUUGCAAAGUCUACAUUUAACAUAAGACACAACUACUCUUUUCAAGAGAAAUGUCUACCAUUUAGAUGAGCAAAAUCAUAAAAAAGUGACUUUUUGGAAAUCAAAAUUGUUCUUGAGAUUGAAUCAAUAAUGAAAGGUGAAAGUUGCAAAGUCUACAUUUAACAUAAGACACAACUACUAUUUUCAUGAGAAAUAUCCACCAUUUAGAUGAGAAAAAUCACAUAAAUGUAGAUUUUUUGGAAAUAAAAAGGGUUCUUAAG